AAAACCUUACCCACCUUUGACAUGUACGGAAUCCUUUAGAGAUAGAGGAGUGCUCGAAAGAGAGCCGUAACACAGGUGCUGCAUGGCUGUCGUCAGCUCGUGUCGUGAGAUGUUGGGUUAAGUCCCGCAACGAGCGCAACCCUUGUCAUUAGUUGCUACAUUCAGUUGGGCACUCUAAUGAGACUGCCGGUGACAAACCGGAGGAAGGUGGGGAUGACGUCAAGUCCUCAUGGCCCUUAUAGGUGGGGCUACACACGUCAUACAAUGGAUGGUACAAAGGGUCGCCAACCCGCGAGGGGGAGCCAAUCCCAUAAAGCCAUUCGUAGUCCGGAUCGCAGUCUGCAACUCGACUGCGUGAAGUCGGAAUCGCUAGUAAUCGUGGAUCAGAAUGUCACGGUGAAUACGUUCCCGGGUCUUGUACACACCGCCCGUCACACCAUGGGAGCGGGUUCUGCCAGAAGUAGUUAGCCUAACCGCAAGGAGGGCGAUUACCACGGCAGGGUUCGUGACUGGGGUGAAGUCGUAACAAGGUAGCCGUAUCGGAAGG
rnacentral:rRNA from 1 species